rnacentral:rRNA from 1 species
GUGCUUAACAACAUGCAAGUCUGCAUGAGCAGCAUUAAGUAGCAAUACAGAGUGGGGGCGCAUGGUGAACGUGGUGGGUAACAUGUUGGGCAACAUUACCGUUCGGCGGGGGAUGGGCCCGCGUAAGCGGCACUAAUGCCGCAUAACACUCCAUGGAUUAGCAGUCAGGGUUUCAAAGCAGCAAUGCGCCGGAAGAGGGGCCCGCGGCCGAGUAGCUUGUUGGUGAGUUAUCUGCUCACCAAGGGGGAAAAAGGUAGCCGGUUUGAGAGGAUGAUCGGCCACACUGGAAUUCUCUCACGGUCCAGAAACUACGGGAGGC